CUUUAGUUCAGCUGUUGUAUGCUGUAAUCAAGUAAAACUAUACAUUAAAGUAGACAUUAUCUCCUGUUAACAAAGUUCGAAGUGAACAAAAAAUGCCAUUCUCAUCAUGUAACACACUUAUUUGGCCAAAUAUUCUGCAUAUGUGCUGACUCUGCACAAAAACUAGAGACUAGUCAUCUCUAUUUUAAGUCUUGAGUGAAUGAAUUAUAAUCAUUAGAUGUAUAAUUAUUGUGCAUCUUGUAUAUUUAAAUACACAAACAGGUCUCUGUAAUUGAAUUAGGCUGUAC